GACGAACGCUGGCGGCGUGCUUAACACAUGCAAGUCGAACGGUGAACCACUUCGGUGGGGAUCAGUGGCGAACGGGUGAGUAACACGUGGGCAACCCGCCCUUAGCUCUGGGAUAACCCCGGGAAACCGGGGCGUAAUACCGGAUACGACCUCGAGCGGCAUCACUCGAGGUGGAAAGAACUUCGGCUAAGGAUGGGCCCGCGGCCUAUCAGCUUGUUGGUGGGGUAACGGCCUACCAAGGCGACGACGGGUAGCCGGCCNGAGAGGGCGACCGGCCACACUGGGACUGAGACACGGCCCAGACUCCUACGGGAGGGCAGCAGUGGGGAAUAUUGCGCAAUGGGCGAAAGCCUGACGCAGCGACGCCGCGUGAGGGACGAAGGCC
rnacentral:rRNA from 1 species